rnacentral:rRNA from 1 species
AACGAACGCUGGCGGCAUGCCUAACACAUGCAAGUCGAACGAGAACUUCGGGUCUAGUGGCGCAGGGGUGCGUAACGCGUGGGAAUCUGCCCGUAGGUUCGGAAAAACUGGCCGAAAGGGGUGCUAAGAUCGGAUAAUGUCUUCGGACCAAAGAUUUAUAGACUUUGGAUGGGCCCGGGUUGGAUUAGCUAGUUGGUAGGGUAAACGCCUACCAAGGCGUAGAUACAUAGCUGGUCUGAGAGGAUGAUCAGCCACACUGGGGCUGGGACAUGGCCCGGACUCCUGCCGAUGGCAGCAAGUGGGAUUAUUGGACGAUGCGCGAGGGCCUGAUCCAUCCAGGCCGCGUAAGUGAUUAAUGCCUUAAGAUUGUAAUUCUCUUUUACCCGGGAUGUGAUUGACAGUACCGGGGGAAUAAGCCCCGCCUAACUCCUU